GACGAACGCUGACGGCGUGCUUUAGACAUGCAAGUCGAACGAGAGAGCCCUUCGGGGUUAGUAAAGUGGCGAACGGGUGAGUAACGCGUGGGCAAUCUGACCUUCGUUGGGGGCCAACCGGGGGAAACCCAGGCAACUACUCCGUAAGCUUGUCGGGUCGCAUGGCCUGACCAGGCGAGGUAGCUGAGGCCAACCGGCGCAGGAGGAGGCCGCGGUACAUUAGCUAGUUGGUGAAGUAAAGGCCCACCAAGGCUACGAUGUAUAGCUGGUCUGAGAGGAUGAUCAGCCACACUGGGACUGAGACACGGCCCAAACGCCGACGGGAGGCAGCAGUCGGGAAUCUUGCACAAUGGGCGAAAGCCUGAUGCAGCAACGCCGUGUGAGCGACGAAGGCCCUAGGGUCGUAAAGCUCUGUUGUUAGGGACGAAGGGCGAAGGGUUAAUAGCCCUUAGCCUGACGGUACCUUUCGAGGAAGCCCCGGCUAACUACGUGCCAGCCGCCGCAGUAA
rnacentral:rRNA from 1 species